rnacentral:sRNA from 2 species
GUCGCGCAAGCGCCGUAGGCAGGAGCGGGGGAACCACGGUAAGUCGCCGCGACGGUCCGCCGGUCAGUGACCGGGGUCCGGGACGGCUAGGGGUGAAGCCCGGUGCGCGCAAGCCACCGGGCCGGGCAACUCACGCCCGAACCCGACAGCUCACCUCGUAGGCGCCGGUGAGGAAACCG